GAGCGUUAUCCGGAAUCAUUGGGUUUAAAGGGUCCGUAGGCGGGCCAUUAAGUCAGGGGGUGAAAGUCUGCAGCUCAACUGUAGAAUUGCCUUUGAUACUGGUGGUCUUGAGUCGUUGUGAAGUGGCCGGAACAUGUGGUGUAGCGGGUGAAAAUGCAUAGAUAUCACAUAGAACACCGAUUGCGAAGGCAGGUCACUAACAACGUACUGACGCUGAUGGACGAAAGCGUGGGUAGCGAACGGGAUUAGAUACCCCGGUAGUCCACGCCGUAAACGAUGGAUACUAGCUGUCCGAGGCCUUGAGUCUUGGGCGGCCAAGCGAAAGUGAUAAGUAUCCCACCUGGGGAGUACGUUCGCAAGAAUGAAACUCAAAGGAAUUGACGGGGGCCCGCACAAGCGGUGGAGCAUGUGGUUUAAUUCGAUGAUACGCGAGGAACCUUACCAGGGCUUAAAUGUAGUAUGACAGGGGUAGAGAUACCUUUUCCUUCGGGCAUAUUACAAGGUGCUGCAUGGUU
rnacentral:rRNA from 1 species